GCACCCGUAGCUCAGUGGAUUAGAGCACUUCGCUUCGGACGAAGGGGUCGGGGGUUCAAGUCCCUCCGGGUGUA
rnacentral:tRNA from 1 species